rnacentral:lncRNA from 1 species
GUUUCCGUGGCGAGCCUGAUCGUGGGGCUUUGGAAUCGGAAGCUCUAGCCCAUCUUCUCUCCUGACCAGCCCUUCUCUUUUGCUGAGAUCUGUCCACGAAAGGAAGGAUUCAUAGCUACAGCUUCACCCGCCUCUCCGCGGUUCUGGGUGCGACCGGCCUUUGGAUGAACACUACAUUUCAGAACCACACUGUGGGAGUAAGGAGUCAGCAACUGAAAGCAUAAGCGUUGCAUAGUAUUAAAUGAACAGAGACGGAGAACAGCGGGCUGGCUUUUGGCGGUGUUUGUACUGGAAUCCAAUAAGCACGUCUGAGGGCUGGUCACCCCUUUGGGGAUGCAGUUUCCUCUGCUGGGUACAUUCGGAGAGAUUCCUUCACGACAUUCAUGUGAUGCUCUCACACACAGAAGGUCCUCCUUCCGGGAAGGUUUUGCCAGGUGGGAUGGGCUGACUUGGGAUCCCAAACCCUCAGGUUCCUUCACAGCCACCCAGCCGUAGGCCCUCCCAGCUGACUAUGGCUCUUUUCCCGAGUGGCUCUCAUCUUGUUUGUGGAAGAAUUCUCUGGGCCUGGAGAAGGGAAGGGCCGAGCUGACACAGAGC